AGGUGGGAGGAUCACUUGAGCCAGGGAGAUGGAGGUUGCAGUGAGCUGAGAUCAAGCCAUUGCACUCCAGCCUGGGCAACAGAGUGAGACCCUGUCUC
ensembl:miRNA